AUUGAACGCUGGCGGCAGGCCUAACACAUGCAAGUCGAGCGGUAACACAGGGAGCUUGCUCCUGGGUGACGAGCGGCGGACGGGUGAGUAAUGUCUGGGAAACUGCCUGAUGGAGGGGGAUAACUACUGGAAACGGUAGCUAAUACCGCAUAACGUCGCAAGACCAAAGAGGGGGACCUUCGGGCCUCUUGCCAUCAGAUGUGCCCAGAUGGGAUUAGCUAGUAGGUGGGGUAAUGGCUCACCUAGGCGACGAUCCCUAGCUGGUCUGAGAGGAUGACCAGCCACACGGGAACUGAGACACGGUCCAGACUCCUACGGGAGGCAGCAGUGGGGAAUAUUGCACAAUGGGCGCAAGCCUGAUGCAGCCAUGCCGCGUGUAUGAAGAAGGCCUUCGGGUUGUAAAGUACUUUCAGCGGGGAGGAAGGUGUUGAGGUUAAUAACCUCAGCAAUUGACGUUACCCGCAGAAGAAGCACCGGCUAACUCCGUGCCAGCCGCCGCCGUAAGAC
rnacentral:rRNA from 1 species